AACGAACGCUGGCGGCAGGCCUAACACAUGCAAGUCGAACGAGACCUUCGGGUCUGGUGGCGCACGGGUGCGUAACGCGGGGGAACCUGCCCUUAGGUUCGGAAUAACUCCCCGGAAGGGGUGCUAAUACCGGAUAAUGUCUUCGGACCAAAGAUUUAUCGCCUUUGGAUGGGCCCGCGUUGGCUUAGCUAGUUGGUAGGGUAAAAGCCUACCAAGGCGACGAUCGAUAGCUGGUCUGAGAGGAUGAGCAGCCACACUGGGACUGAGACACGGCCCAGAAUCCUACGGGAGGCAGCAGUGGGGAAUAUUGGACAAUGGGGGAAAGCCUGAUCCAGCAAUGCCGCGUGAGUGAUGAAGGCCGUAGGGUUGUAAAGCUCUUUUACCCGGGAUGAUAAUGACAGUACCGGGAGAAUAAGCUCCGGCUAACUCCGUG
rnacentral:rRNA from 1 species